CAGGACUCGCAAGACUCCUAUCACCCUGUGAACCUACUCUCUACACGUUGCUUCGGCGGGCAUGCGUCGCUGGGAUUCGUCCCCGCGGCGCGCCAGCCUGCCGGCAGCCCCUACCAUUCUGUUUCUUUGCGUUGGCAUCUCGAGUACAAUCAACUAAGUUA
rnacentral:misc_RNA from 1 species